GCCUGGCUCUCUGCCUUGGUCAUCAGCCUGGCUCUCUGCCUUGGUCAUCAGCCUGGCUCUCUGCCUUAGACAUCAGCCUGGCUCUCUGCCUUAGACAUCAGCCUGGCUCUCUGCCUUAGUCAUCAGCCUGGCUUUCUGCCUUAGACAUCAGCCUGGCUCCUAGCUCUUCCUCCUGGGCCUCACUGGCACUCAGCCUGCCUCCAAGAGCAACCACCUCCACAUCCGGAGCUAAAGUUUCCCCAUGUGAGAUAACAGACAGUUAUAAUCAUAACUGGCACAGGUUUGUGUCCCAAAUGGCAUCCUAUUCACCACAUGGUGUCUGACCUGGGGGAGCCCGGGGACCACCAGGUCGUCUAAGGAGGGGUGCACCGGCCCAGGUCGGAAACGGAGCAGGCCAAAGCCACCGUGCCGCUCAGUAGCGGGAUCGCGCCCGUGAAUAGACGCUGUAGUGCAGCCUGAGAAAUACAGCGAGCUCAUAGGUCACUGGUCAAAAGUAGUGCACCAUAUAUAUAUAUAUAUAGGGAAUAGGGUGCCGUUUGGGACUACAGUCUCUACCUCUACGGUGCUGAAGGGGUGUGUGACCCUGUAGGAUGUAAAGCAUUUCGAGACAUAAUGAAAAGCUCUACUUAAAUAAACACUAUCACUUUAUUAUGUCAAAAUGUACAAUGUUACAUUAAAACAGAACGAUUAAAACAGAACGAUAGUUACAUUAAAACAGAACGGCUUGGUUUCAUAUAGUCAGCCCUUUAUAGACUCCUCCAAACAGGAUUUCUUGAAAACCUGGGAAUUUUGGCAAAUGUAAUUUUUCCAACCCUUUGUGGAACAUGACGUAAUGUUUACAGGAAGAAGGGGACAUGUUCAAAUAAAACAUGGAACUCUCUGUAAUUAGAUUCUCAGCUAGUAGCGCUCUGUAGUAAGAGAAUGUGUACACAUUUGGUUCAGUUGAGUGUAUGUCCUGUCCUUAUAGGCUUGAUCCCAGAUGGAUGAUUGAUUCUCUGCUGGGACACUGGUGGACUGUCAGCUCUCAGACCUUUGUAAGGGGGAUGACAUUGUAGACAUGCCACCUGUGCACCAGGCAGUCAAUAUGAAGCUGUCCCCACAGUGUCAAGGACAGAGGGGAUGGAGAGACUGGACAACAUGCUGCUGAGGCUGAGGAACAAUCACACCGUUACUCUCACAGCCUAGGUGAACUUCACUGUGCUGGAAGUACUUCUCUAGAAAUUAUUGGCUUUGUUAAAGGAAAGAUAGACAGGAGGCCAUGACGUGAUUUGUUUUGUGUUGCACCAGAAUGCAAGGGAAAGCAGUUAUGUCUCAUAGGGGACUGAAGUUGUGCCGGGGUUGUGGUACUCCAGUGAGUGAGUGACUCACUGCAGACACAGGCGCUAGUAAAGGGACUCCUAGUCUUCACCCAGUAGCUCAGAUUGUCACUGGUCAUUUAGCCUCCCCUGCAUGCUUUUCAUUUGUUCCCAUUCUGACUCUUCCUGUAUUAGGCUACAGGCCUAGUGGAAUGUAUGUACAGAUACAAGUUGUAAAAGCCAAUUAUUGUUAAUAUAUAUAUAUAUAUAUAUACACACACCUUAUUCUUUUCAUAUUUUGUCAUUCCAAUUUUGAAUUAGACAAUGCAUUCCUCUC
ensembl:lncRNA